UCAAAACAAAGAUGGUUCCCAAGUGAAAAAGUUGUUUCUCCCUUCAAAGUCUUGAAAAAUUCGGAAAUUUUGCAUGAAAAGUGCUGCAAUAAUGGUGGAAAAUAACCGGAAUCGAUGCCCGUCGGUGAACCUCAUCGCUUCCGGUUUGAUUUUGUUGGUUUGCUGCGUUUUACAAACUACAAAUGCGGGUCAGCUGCACAAGAAUCUGAAGCACUACGAAACGUUGCACGCGGACCAGCUGACCCAUCGGAUCACGAAGCGCGGGGCGAAACCGAGCAGUCAUCCGUUCAACACGAUCAAGGAGGUGGAGUUCAAGGUGUUGGGACGGAACUUUCGAUUGAUAUUGCAUCCCCACAAGGACGUUCUGCACAGCAACUUCCGGGCGUACUCGGUGGACGGAAGCGGGGCGGAAUCGAUCGUGCACCUGGACCAUGAUAACUUCCUGAGGGGUCGCGUCUUUGGGGAGGUUCACUCGCAGGUUAAUGCUCACUUGGAGGAUGGGAUUCUGACGGCUUCGGUGUUCCUUCCGGACGAGACGUACCACAUUGAACCAUCGUGGCGGCAUUUGGACCACCUGAGUGAUCGGCACAUGAUUGCGUACAAGGCGUCCGAUAUCAAGUUUAGCUGGGACCAGGUUGAUGCCGUCGGUGGUGAGAUGGGUGGAGUGCCGAAGACUUGCGGUUACGUGAAGGAGGGCUUGGAACUGGAAGCGAAUGACGACGACGAUGAUGACGAUGGCGAUGAGGAGGAGGAUGGGGUGCGUCCAGAUCCGGAUGAUAUUCCGUCGGUUUGGACCGCGGCCACGGUGUCGGCGGCCGAGCUGAAGUCCCGCAAGAAACGACAGGCCGACCAGUACGAGUACACUCCGACGAAGACGCGCUGUCCGCUGCUGCUCGUUGCGGAUUACAGAUUCUUCCAGGAAAUGGGCGGAAGCAACACCAAAACAACCAUCAACUAUUUGAUCAGUCUCAUCGAUCGGGUGCACAAAAUCUACAACGACACGAUCUGGCAGGACCGCACCGAUCAGGAGGGCUUCAAGGGUAUGGGCUUCGUCAUAAAGAAGAUCGUGGUGCACUCGGAACCGACGCGGGUUCGCGGCGGUGAGGCGCACUACAACAUGGUGCGCGAAAAGUGGGACGUGCGGAACCUGCUGGAGGUAUUCUCCCGCGAGUACAGCCACAAAGACUUUUGUCUGGCGCACCUGUUCACCGACCUCAAGUUCGAGGGUGGCAUUCUAGGUCUGGCGUACGUGGGCUCUCCCCGGCGCAACUCCGUCGGCGGCAUCUGCACACCAGAAUACUUCAAGAACGGUUACACGCUGUACCUCAACUCGGGGCUGAGUAGUUCGCGGAACCACUACGGCCAGCGGGUCAUCACGCGGGAGGCGGAUCUCGUGACGGCGCACGAGUUUGGCCACAACUGGGGCUCGGAGCACGAUCCGGACAUUCCGGAGUGUUCACCGUCGGCGUCGCAGGGUGGUAGCUUCCUGAUGUACACCUACUCGGUCAGCGGGUACGACGUGAACAAUAAAAAGUUCUCGCCCUGUUCGCUGCGCUCGAUCCGGAAGGUGCUGCAGGCCAAGUCGGGCCGGUGCUUUUCCGAACCGGAGGAGUCGUUCUGUGGGAAUUUGCGCGUUGAGGGGGACGAACAGUGCGACGCUGGGUUGCUGGGAACGGAGGACAACGAUGCUUGCUGCGAUAAGAACUGCAAGCUGAGACGGAACCAGGGCGCGGUUUGCAGUGACAAGAACUCGCCGUGCUGUCAGAACUGUCAGUUUAUGAUGGCCGGGGUCAAGUGUCGUGAGGCGCAGUACGCCACGUGUGAGCAGGAGGCACGAUGCAGCGGUAAUCACGCCGAUUGUCCGAAAAGUCCGCCGAUGGGCGACGGGACCAUGUGCCAGGAGCGGGGACAGUGUCGCAACGGGAAGUGCAUUCCGUACUGCGAGACGCAGGGUCUGCAGAGCUGCAUGUGCGACACGAUGACGGAUGCGUGCAAGCGGUGCUGCCGGCAGAGCAUCAACGAGACGUGCUUCCCGGUGGAACCGCCGGAUGUGCUUCCGGACGGGACGCCCUGCAUCCAGGGCUUCUGCAACAAGGGAAUGUGCGAGAAAACCAUCCAGGACGUGGUCGAGCGGUUCUGGGAUAUCAUCGAGGAGAUCAACAUCAACAAGGUGUUGCGGUUUCUGCGGGACAACAUCGUCAGUAAGUAGAAUCGGUUUAUGUCCACUCGGAUAUCGAUGCAUCUGUGCUCUCUUGUACUAACUAGCAAGCUUGAAGGAACCGAAAAGUUUGGUUAUGUCAAAUGACAAUGCGUUACCUCACUCUUGAUUUACAUUGAACUGACUUGAUCCAAGGGCCUGUUCAAGGUUAAUCAAACGUCAGGUAACCUAAAGGCAACUGUCAAAUUAAACACGUUGAAAACGAUAAUGACACAAUUUCGCAACUUCUAGUGGCAGUGGUGAUGCUUACGGCCCUGUUCUGGAUUCCGGUCAGCUGCAUCAUAUCGUACUUUGACCGGAAGAAGCGAAAGGAGGACUGGAAAGAGUACGAGUGGAGCCAGAAGCUGGACCUGAUCCACCCGAGCGAUCGUCGCC